AAAAGAUUUAUUCUCAAUCUUCUCCAUCUCUUCCGAAGAGAUGAGAUCUCUUCUCUAUUUUCUCCUUCUUCUUCUAUCAUGUAAAAGUUGUUUUUCUCGCAAAUACAAGAGUAGUGUAACGUUCAAGGGAUUCAACAACAGCAGAAGAAAAAGUAUCAACCGAUUUACCAGCAAUAAGGUAUUUGUAGUGUUAAUGCAAAGACUAUUUGAUCAGUUCAAGCUGGAAAAGAUUCAGGUGUUCUUCUUGCUACUACUAAGACUAACAAAAAGAAUAACCCUCCAACUUUGGUGCACAAAACUGUCAUGAAAAAGGAAUUCAGUAGAAUGGCUAAGGUUGUUGCUAACCAGCCACUUUGACAGCACUGGUCGUGUGUUCCGCAAGGGCGUGCAGUGCGAUGUUGGGGUACAUCCUAUUAUAGGACCUCAG